CUGGGUGACAGAGCGAGACUCCAUCUCAAAAAAAUUAAUAAAUAAUAAUAAUAGUCACCCUUCCACCUCCAUAGCACAGCUACGUCAUGAACUGACACCUUAAAACUUUGUUCUGUUUUCAAUUAUCUCUUGGUUUCUGAUGCCUGGGUAUUUCUUUUUCUUUCUUGAGAGCUUAAGCAUGAAUAUAAAACAUUUCAAAUUUUAUAUUUUAUCCAGUAUUUCUAGCUUUUUAAUAGUGAGAUUUAUCUUACUCUCCCAUUUUAUUAAAACAGAAAGUCUUGAGUAACAUUUUAAUACUGAGAAAAAAAGCCUCAUUAUUAGUUUUAGAAAAAGAGAGACAAUCUGUGUUGUUCUGGAACCAAGACAAAGUUCUAGAAGAUUCUCUCUUGAUCCUUAAACAGCAUAGAAAAACCAGGUAAGUUGACUAUGUUCACGUUUAGGAGUAUGAUGGCCAAUGGAUCCAAAACCUAUCCUAUAUCUACAUGUUGGUGGCCACAUUAAUCUGACAUCUGACAGCAAGAGCGAUGAUUGGGUUCACUGGAAAUCUUUGUGAAGUACGAGUGAAGUCCUUGUGAAGUCAGAGUUUCCUCUUCAUGCCUCUACUCCUAUGCAGUUUGACCUCUCAGUGUGCAGCUGGUGAUAGAUGGAAACCCUUGUUCAUAAGCUUUGUGGCACUGUCGGCAGGAUGAGGGGACUUCUGGAUCCUCACUGGUCACUGUGGCAGAGUGGUUGGUGUUGUCUGCUCCCUAGACAGGAACCCACUGAAGAAUCUGACAUUUUUUGAUAUGCUGGCAUUCAUUGUUACAGCCCAUCAUCCCAGCCAUCAAUCCAGGACAUGGGGUCUGUGCCCACGGUGGGAAGGAGGAGGGGGAAGCUGGCUUUGUUCUGACGUUGGGCUUCUUCUGCUCCACCAGUACUUUCUGUGGGGGAAAUAGGUAAAGAAAUGGCUGUUCAGAUGAGAAGAUGUGUCAGUAAACUUUUGCUACAGUGAUGCUGCAAAACAAAUCACUGGUGACUUUCAGUGGCACACAGCAAUAAACAUUUAUUUAGCUCAGGGAUUGACAAUCUUUUUUUUUUUUUAAAGGGCCAAAUAGUAAAUAUUUUAGGUGUUUCAGGCCAUACAGUCUCUGAACUCUGAACUUGUAGCACAACAGUAGCCUUAGAUGCUAUGCAAAUGGAGGAGCAUGACUGUGUUCCAAUAAAACUUUAUUUAUGGACACUAAAA
rnacentral:lncRNA from 1 species